rfam:Oryzias latipes DNA, chromosome8, strain: Hd-rR.
CAAAAUAAGUUUCAGACGGAUAUGAUGUGGAAUUUCAAAAUAAAAACCAAUUGAAAUCUGGUGUGAAUAUGGCAAUUACAUAUUUAUACCAAAUUUCUGUUGGGUUUUAUUUUGAAAUUACACAUCAGAUACAUCUGAAACUUUUUUUGUGACAUCACCAUAAGGGACACUAUAAGUGAGAAGUGAAAUGACUCUGUGGAAACUAGGAGUUUUUUUUUCUACACAGUGCUCUGAAUGUCAAAGUGAAGAAAUUCAAUGAAGCGCGGCUAAACAGCGGGAGUAACUCAUUCUUUUAAGGUAGUCAAAUGCCUCGUCAUCUAAUUAGUGACGCGCAUGAAUGGAUGAACGAGAUUCCCACUG